UUCCAGGAACUUUUAAAAGCCUUUCUAUGUGCUGCAGAGUUAAAGUUUUUAUUAGCUUUUCUCUAUUUGAGAUCAACAACCUUAGUUGCGACUAAACCUGUCGAUCUGUAUCCCCACGGUGCAUAGAAAACUGGUUCUACUGGUAAAUAAAAACCCUUUUUCCACCCUGAACUGUAGGAAUCCUUCUUUCGGAGGAUUCAUAAAUUACAAGUCGGGACUAAAAUACUAGGGUUACAUUC
rnacentral:snoRNA from 1 species